rnacentral:tRNA from 2 species
ACUCUAAAUAUAAGCUAUUUGAAU